AAGUAACACCCUUUGGUAACACUUUAAAAAAUUCAUGAUUGUUUGAUUUUUAGGUAACACUUUUGUAACAUUGUAGUAUUAGGUAACAUUUUUAGCAGCACUUUAAUAUAAUGUAACACUUUGAUAUAUUUGGUAGCACUUUGUUGUAACACUUAAUUUGAUAUAAUCAAUUUUUUUUUUCAAUCCAAUAUUUUUUUAUAGAAAAAAAAAAAAAAUACACCCUUCGUCUUGUCAAAAGAUCGACCCUCAUAACCUCACUGUUGGCUGUCUCCCAACUUGCUUCCUCCCCCAAGAUUUCCUCGGCUUCCACCGCUGCCCCCAUCUCGCUCCCGCUGCUCCACUGUAGCCCGGCCCCCGUCCAUUGCAGCCUCCCUCCACCGCAACUCGUGCUCCAACUUGAAGACGUACCCAACAGUCUCGUGCUCCAAGUUAAAGGGACAAUGAUUGCCACCCCAAAGACAGCGGUUGCCACCUCCUUGCCUCUAUCCUCGCACGGCGGCUUUCACCUUAAAGUUAGGGUUGGGCUUGUCGAGAAUCCAAAUAAUUGCGGGCGAAAGAGAUGCAGAAAUCCACAGAAAUGGAAGUUAUAAUUGGAGAUUUGGUGUUUCAUAUACAAAAUACUGCUGCGUGCUAUUCCUGCUACUGCCCAAACCACCACUCCGUGCAUCAGUUGUCACAUUUUCUAGGCUUUAAUUUUGUGGGUGCGGUCACUCAAGAUUAUAGUGAGGGUUUGUAUGGUUUUGAUGACUGCUGCCGGAAAAGGUACUUGUUAAAAAUUGUAACUUGGGAUCAGUCACUGCAUCCAACAGCUCCAAAGCAUGCCAUGAGAAACAACGAAGGGAUCAUCUAAAUGAAAGGCAUGUACAGUUUUAAUAUAUGAGGGAUUUUGAUCUCAUUUUGCCUUUUUUUUUCUCAAUGUACUUAUUACCAUUUUGUUGGUAGGUUCCUUGAGUUAAGUGAAACAUUGAUGUCUGGAACAACACCCAAGUUUGACAAAGCCGCUAUACUAACUGAUGCUAUUCGGCAAGUAAAGCUGUUACAUGAAGAAACUUGUAACUUAACCAGCGAAAAUGGCGAAUUAUAAGAAAAGAUAAAUGAAUUGAAGGUUCUGACU